CCUACGUGUGGCAGCAGUGAGGAAUAUUGGUCAAUGGGCGGGAGCCUGAACCAGCCAAGUCGCGUGAGGGAAGAAGGUACUGAGUAUUGUAAACCUCUUUUGCCAGGGGACAAAGGCAGCCACGGGUGGCCGUAAGAGGGUACCUGAAGAAAAAGCAUCGGCUAACUCCGUGCCAGCAGCCGCGGUAAUACGGAGGAUGCGAGCGUUAUCCGGAUUUAUUGGGUUUAAGGGGUGCGAAGGCGGCGUGUAAAGUCAGCGGUAAAAUGUGGGGGGUCAACCCCGGCCGGCCGUUGAAACUGGCGUGCUUGAGUUGGGGAGAGGUAUGCGGAAUUCGUGGUGUAGCGGUGAAAUGCAUAGAUAUCACGAAGAACCCCGAUUGCGAAGGCAGCAUACCGACUCCACACUGACGCUGAGGCACGAAAGCGUGGGUAUCGAACAGGAUUAGAUACCCUAGUAGUC
rnacentral:rRNA from 1 species